UCCAUUGUGUAGCUGCGGCCUCCGUUAUAUUCACUUCAGGGCAUACCCCUGGAAUAGAAUAUGUAAAACUACUCAAAUUUAUAAAAGUUUCAAGAUACAUUAAUUAUAGAAUUAAAUUAUUACUAUUAUUAUUAUUAUUAUUAUUUUCUUGCAUAUAGUGAAUAUAUAUAUAUAUAUAUAUAUAUAUAUAUAUAUAUAUAUAUAUAUAUAUAAAAAUAGAAAAAUAUAUAUAUAUAUAUAUAUAUAUAAAAUUAGAAAAAUAUUAAUAAUUUUAAAAUUAUUAAAAAUGAAUAUCAUUAUUUACUUGUUAAAUCCAAAAAAGAGAAGGGAAAACAAAUAAAAUAAUAAAACAAAAUAAAACAAAAGGCUUAAAGCCUUAUAAUAAGAAUGACGUACUUCUCAUUCAGAUAGGCAAAAUGGCAGAAGCCUAUUUCGAACAAACAAAACAAGAAAAAAGAGGCGGAGAACACAAAAACAGAGACACACGGCUCAAAGCAGAGGCAACCUGAAAUUACUUGAAAAUCCUAGGGUUAUUUACAAACCACCAAUCCUUGAACUUAGAUAUAUAAAAUUCUCUAUUGAUAAUUAUCCUACCAUGAUAAUAGGUAAUAAUUGAAUAGUUAAUUCCCUUCUUCCUUUAUAUCAACAUUAAAUUUCAUGUUUAGGUGUAGUACUUUAAAUUAAUUAAAAUGCACGGGUUUUGUAGAAUCGAUUGUUUAACUGGUGUCAAUUGGACUGGGGCCUACGUAUUAGCUCGAGAAAUUUUGAGGUGAGUUGAUAUAACCCUUUACUAAAGUGAUUUAACUCACAAAAGCACGCAUACAAGGUGAUUGAUGAAUUGCAUAAAAGAAUUUAUCUUUAUUUUAUUAAUUUACCAAAGUGGUUUAACUCACAAAAAUAUGCAUACAAGGUGUUUGUUGAAUUAGCUAAAAGAGUGAAUAUGUACUUAAUUGAAGCGAGUGAAUUCCUAUUAGCUUAGAAUUAUUCUUUUUGUUAAAUUUAGAUGAUUUAUUUUGAUAUAUGUGCAUAGAUUUUCAGAUUUUUGUGUUAUUCUUAUAUGUCAUUUUCAUGUUGAAAAUUCAUGAAAAAGCAAGAAUAUAUAGAAAUAAUUUUGAAUGCAUAUUUCAUUCUUAUGGCAUACCUAACAUUUAAGACUUUUUGAAUAAGUAUAUUUUCAAGAUUUAGACUAGAAAAGUCAGAAGAAUAAGUUUUAGAAAGAAAAGAUUUUUGACAGUAUCCUUUAUUCUGAGAAGGGGUCAUCGUCCAGGCCGAGGGUCCUGACUAAGGCGUUGACUUCCUAAAACUACUUGUGCCAAAGUAGGGAGCACGCCAGCUGAGGGUCUUGUUGUUGAGAAAUUACAUAGCCAUUCUAAAGCUAAAGUAUGAUACACGAGCGCUGAGAACCAUGAAGCGAGUGGAACCUCAUGGAUUGGGCCUAUUCGAUCAGGUUGGGAUUGAACCCAUGCCAAUUACACGGUGACUGAGACGGAGUUAAGUCAGAAUAGUUGGAACUCCCAAAGUAAAAGUGAAGUAUUUUUUUAAUAAGAAAGAAAAAAAGAAAAGAAUUUCUUUUAGAAUAUUCAUAAGCUGUUAUUAUGCAAUUAUUUAGAAUUAUUCUUAUAAGCUUUAUGUUUUACAUGCAUUUAGAAACUUUGCUCGUAAUGUAUAUGCUAUUAAAGUUUGAGCCCUAUUGUUGAGACUCACUAAGUACAAUGGAUGAUACUGACAUUCUCUUUUAGGAACCUACGUUGGUCUGCGGUACAACGUAGGAACCGGAUUUGCAGGCGAGCAAGCUACGAGUUAGGACUUCCUUUUCUUCCAGUGCUAUUAAUGAGCUCCGCUUUUGUUUGUGGAGUAUUCCUUAACGUCAUAUUUAUUUAGUUAUUUAUUUGUUACUUAGAGAAUUGGCCAGGAAAUCUCAUGUCUUGAGUAGUGCGUCAGUUUAUCAGUAGAGGCUUCAUAGACAUAGUCGUUAGGUUAAGAUUCAGAUGUUUUUGAUAAUAACUUAGCAGUAUUUUAUUGGUUAUUAUGAAUAAAGUUUUGGAUUUAAUUUAUUUAAAUGUUUAAAUUAAUUAAAAGUAUUUGGUUAGAGUAUUGCAUGUUACAUAUAAAGUUUAGAGUUAUAAUAGAUUUGAUAAGCAGAUAUGGUUUGCUCGGUCAUAUUUAGUGAUCGAGUGCCGAUCCCGGCUUGUUCAGAAAAUGGGUUGUGACAAACUUGGUAUCAGAGCCUCAGGUUUAUGAAGUCCUAGGGGUCUAUGAAGUCGUGUUAGUAUAGUUUUGUUUAUGGGUUUGAAUCACAUCAUACUUAUAAAUAGGAGGCUACAAGCAUUUAGGAAAAGUCUCAUUUUUUUCAUAUUUUAGAUCGUGCAGUAGAUCCUACCUCUAAGAAACUAUCUAAUGUACUCGUUUCUUUAAAACUCGCAGAAAUGGCUCGUACUCGCAACUCUGACACCGACACUCAAGAUGUUGCUAAAAAACUAUUGCUACCAUUGUGGCUCAAGGUAGAACUAAGAAGGCUUCAACUCAGAAAAGUAAGGGUAAACCCACAAAAAGGGUUCAAGUACCCCGGGUUGAGCAUGAAGAAGAGGUGGAACAUGGUGAUCCGGUGCUUCCCCCAACAGCAGCUCCGGCUCAGGCAACAAUGCUAUGGAGAUGUUUAAAGCCUUUAUGGCCAUCCAGAAUGAGAGAAGAGAUGAGAUUCUACCUCAAUCAAACAGACAGAACAAUUCUGAGUCCUCAAGAGUGAAUGAAUUUUUGAGGUUGAGUCAUCUAGUAUUCCAUGGUUCUGUAGUUGAUGAAGAUCUGAUGUUGUGGCUGGAGGGUGUCAAGAAAGCCUUCUGAGUGCUAAAAGCAUUUGAUGAUGAAGUUGUGUAGCUUGCUGCUUACCAGCUUAGAGAUGUGGCAGGCGCUUCCUUUGAGAUUGGAAAAAGGAAAGAGAUGAAGAUGAUGGUCCGCCUACUUGGGAAGAAUUUGAAUAGGCCUUCAUGGCUAAAUUUAUUCCAAAAGAGGAUAUGGAAGCUAAGGCUACAGAGUUCGAAUAACUCAAGCUAGGGAAUAAAAGUGUGCAAGAGUACUACAUGGAAUUCAUAUGGCUAGCUAAGCAUGAUCCUCACAUGGUUAAGACAGAAAAAGCAAAGAUUCGCAGGUUUGUUAGCAGUUUAUCUUACCACAUUAAGGAUAGGACAUCAGCUGCAGCAGUAGCGAUGACAACUUUCUCCUCUAUUGUGGGAUUCACCAAGCACUUAGGAAAGGACAGACAACAAAGGAAAAAAUAAAAAGAGCAUAGCAAGAAAGCCUGGACAGCGGGCAGGUUUAAUGGUACAUCCAAGGGAGGUAGGAGGGAUUCCUCUUAUAAGGAGUCAUUAUAACCAGCUCAGUCCAGUCAUCAGUCAUGUGGUGGUCUUCCUUCAGACGUACUCUGAGUUAUGGAAAUCAAUCUCGCCAGGAUCAGAAUUUUAGGACAUCAUCCUUACAUAGCCAAAGUCAUGCUGAGCAACAUUUACACCAACUACGUCUUUGUGGAACAUGUAAGCGACAACAUUCAGGUUAGUGCAAGCUCAGAUUUCAUGGUUGCUAUCAUUGUGGAGACAUUGGUCAUAUAAAGGCCAACUGUCCAAAGUUGGAACGUAAUUUUAGUAGUGGAUCAACUCAUCCUUCUAUUUCCUCAACUACUGCAGUUGCACCACCUCAGGCUCGUGGUUCUCAGAAUCAGAUCGGGCAUGGAGCAGGCAGUGGUGCAGAUCGAGUUGCUUAGGAAGGGGGGACAACCAUGUUUGUUUGCUACACUUGAUUGCAGAGGCAUCUACAGAAGUUAUUACUGGUAUAUUUUUAGUCUGCUCACGUAAUGCUUAUGCCAUAAUGGAUCCAGGUUAAACGUUUUCAUAUGUGACUCCAAACAUUGCAAUUAACCUCGGACUAGAACCUGAACAACUUAGAGUGAGCCAUUCCUAGUAUCUAUUCCAGUUGGCGAGUUAGUGAAAGUCACCAGAAUCUACAGAGGUUGUAUAGUUUUAGUCCAAGAUCGCAUCACCAAAGCCAAUAUCAGAGAUAGAAAUGGUGGAUUUUUAUGUGAUUAUGGGUAUGGAUUGGUUGUCUUCCUACUAUGCCAUGUUAGAUUUUCAUAACAAGAUAGUCAGGUUCCAAUUUCCAAAUGAAGAAGUCUUAGCGUGGAAGGGUAGUUCAGCAUCGCUUGUAGGUAAGUUUAUUUCUUACCUUAAGGCACAACGAAUGAUCAGUAAGGGAUGUCUUGCCUAUUUUUCUCACAUCAUUAAUCCAGAAUCAGAACCACCAGCUCUUCAGUCAGUGCCAGUUAUUAGAGAAUUUCCAGAAGUUUUCCCAGAUGACCUUCCCGGAAUUCCUCCUUGAAGAAUCAUAAGAUUUGGCAUUGAUCUCAUGCCAGGCAGUCAGCCCAUAUCUAUACCUCCUUAUAGGAUGGCUCAAACAGAACUUGAAGAGUUGAGAGAACAGUUAAAAGAACUUCUUAACAAGGGCUUCAUUAGACUGGGAGUUUCACCGUGGGGUGCUCCGGUCCUGUUUGUCAAGAAGAAAGAUGGGUCUCUCAGAAUGUAUGUCGACUAUCGGCAGUUGAAUAAAGUUACCAUUAAGAACAAGUUCCCACUGCCAAGAAAUGAUGAUUUAUUUGAUCAACUUCAGGGUGCAAAAUACUUUUCAAAAUAGACUUGAGGUCGGGGUACCAUCAGUUGAGAUGAGAAAAGAGGAUAUAUCUAAAACAACCGUUUAGAACUCGCUACGGGCACUAUGAAUUUCUAGUAAUCUACUCCAGGUUGACAAAUGCUCUAGCGGCGUUCAUGGAUUUCAUGAAUAGAGUUUUCAAGCUAUUCCUGGAUACCUUUAUUAUUGUAUUUAUAGAUGAUAUUUUGGUGUACUCUAAGAGCAAGGAAGAUCAUGCAGAACACCAUAGCCUUGUAGACCUUGAAGGAGAAUGAGCUUUAUGCCAAGUUUUUAAAAUGUGAGUUCUAGUUGCUAUCAGUGGCAUUCUUAGGCCACGUGGUACCUAGUGAACGAAUAAAAGUAGACCCUCGGAAGACAGAAGAAAUCAAGAAUUGGCCUAGGCGGACAACGCCAACCGAAAUCAUGAGUUUCUUGGGAUUAGCUAGCUACUAUAAAAGGUUUAUAGAGGGGUUUUCCUCACUUGCAGCUGCAUUAACUAAGUUGACUCAAAAAGCAGUUAAGUUCCAAUGGUCAGAUGCUUGUGAGCAGAGUUUUCAAGAGUUAAAGAAGAGGUUGACCACUGCACCUGUGUUAACCUUGCCGAUAGGUUCGGGUGGGUUCACAGUGUAUUGUGAUGCCUCCAGAGUGGGCCUUGUUUGUGUUCUUAUGCAAAAUGGAAAAGUUAUUGCUUAUGCUUCCAGAAAGUUAAAGAAUCAUGAAAAGAACUACCCCACACACGACUUAGAGCUUGUAGUAGUGGUGUUUACAUUAAAAAUAUGGUGACACUACCUUCAUGGCGAGCAUUCUGAAGUGUUUACAGAUCACAAAAUCCUCCAGUACAUUUUCAAGCAAAAAGAACAAAAUUUGAGACAGAGCAGGUGGCUCUAGGUAUUGAAAGAUUAUGACAUCAACAUCAUUUAUCACCCAAGAAAAUCUAAUGUGGUAGCAGAUGCACUUAGUAGGAACACAAUGGGUGUCUUGGCCCAUCUUGUAGUACAAAGGAGAUCUUUGGGUCAAGAAAUUCAAAAAUUAGCAAAUGAUGGAAUUAGAUUGGAUGAUACCGAAGAAGGAGAUAUAACCGAUUAUGUCUAAUUCAAUCCUCCCUUGUUGCGUAUGUGAAGGCUAAGCAAGAAGAUCCCUACUUAGUGAAAUUAAAAGAAGGAGUCAGAAGCAAAGAAAUCACUGCUUUCACUCUAGGAAGUGGCGGAGUUUUGAAGUUAAAUGAUCGGUUAUGUGUGUCUGAUGUAGAUGGUCUUAGGAAGGCCAUAAUGGAGGAAGCUCACAGUUCGAGGUACUCUAUUCACUCAGGUGCUACCAAAAUUUACCUAGAUUUGAAAGAGUUGUAUUGGUGGAAAUGCAUGAAGAAACAAGUAGCAGAGCAUAUGGCUAAAUGUUUAAAUUGCUAGCAAGUCAAAGCCGAGCAUUAGAGGCCUGGUGUCUUAGCUCAAGAUAUAGAGAUACCACAGUGGAAGUGGGACAUGCUUAAUAUGGAUUUCGUAGGAGGUCUACCUCGCACGUACCGUAAACAUGAUUCAAUUUGGGUUAUUGUAGACCGACUGACAAAGUCCACGCAUUUCCUACCAGUAAUGACGACAGAUUUCGCAGAGAAGUAUGUGUAGUUGUACAUCAAAGAAAUAGUCUAAUUGCAUGGUUACUCCAGUUUCAAUCAUAUCGGAUAGAGGCCCUUAGCUCACGGCGUAUUUUUGGCAGGCAUUUCAGAAAAGAUUGGGUACUAAGAUCAAUUUAAGCACCGGUUUUCAUCCAAAGACCGAUGGCCAGGAUGAAAGGACCAUUCAGACUCUCGAAGAUGUGUUGCGUGGGUGUGUUAUAGACUUUGGAGGUAAUGGGGAUGAUCACUUGCCACUUAUAGAAUUUGUUAACAAUAACAACUAUCAGGCCACCAUUGGUAUGGCUCCUUAUGAAGCGUUGUAUAGGCAGAUAUGUAGGUCUCCAGUGGGUUGGUUUGAACCAGCAGAGGUACCAUUGAUUGGUCCAGAGGUUGUUUUUGGGGCAUUGGAGAAAGUUCAGCUAAUUAGUGAAAGACUUAAAGCGGCUCAAAGUCAUCAAAAGUCUUAUUCUAAUAAGAGGCAUCGUGAGUUAGAGUUCAUGGUUGGUGAUAAGGUGUUCUUAAAAGUUUCACCAAUUAAAUGAGUUAUGAGGUUUUGUAAGAAAUGGAAACUUAUCCCUAGAUUUAUCGGACCAUAUGAAAUUCUAAAAAAGAAAGGAAACGUGGCUUAUAAGCUAGCUCUACCCGUUGAGUUGUCCAUUGUUCAUCCUGUCUUUCGUGUGUCUAUGCUUGGGAAGUGCAUUCAUGAUGAGUCGCAUAUAAUACCUGCCGAUACCAAAUAAAUUAAAGAAGGUUUGACUUAUGAAGAUGUACCUAUAGAAAUUCUUGAUAGACAAGUAAGAAAUUUGAGAACAAAAGAUAUAGCAUCGGUAAAAGUCUUAUGGAGUAAUAAUGAUUCAAGAGAAGCUACGUGGGAGGUCGAGGAAGAUAUGAGGAAGAAGUAUCCUUAUUUAUUUGAGUAACAAGGUAUGUGAACCUAGGUUUGGCUUGAUAUGUAUAUUUCAUUUAUUGAAUACAAGUUAGCAAGUGUUUAUAUCCUUCCUAGAUUAUAUUUAGUUUUUGUAGUGAUUUAGUUUACGCCAGAGUAUAUUUAAUUCAUUAAAGUGAUUUACUUUUGCUAAAGUGUUGUGCUUUAGAUAAUUGUUAGUUAUUGUGGUACCUCCUUGCCGGAGUGUGAGUAAUUAAUUUAUGAGCUAUAUAUGGUGCCUAUGAAUUGCCUGUUAUGGCAUAUUUGGUUGUUGUUGGUGUAGUUGUGGUAUUUGUGACAUGGAUAUUUUUUUUGGAUAGUCCAAUUUACAAGGGAAAUUCUGCAGAAAUUUAUGAAAAUUUAGGGAGUUAGCCAAAAUUUUGAGUCCCUUGGAAAAGUGAGUAGUGCUAAGAAAACUUAAUAGGUUCGAGGACCUGAGUUAUGAUUGUUAGCUUAAGAAUAAGACCCUAGCAACAUUUGAGGACGAAUGUUUUCAAGGAGGGAAGAUUGUAACACUUCUCAAAUUUAUAAAAGUUUCAAGAUACACUAAUUAUAGAAUUAAAUUAUUAAGAUUUUUUUCUUGCCUAUAUUAAAUAUAUAUAUAUAUAUAUAUAUAAUAAUAUCUACUUUUAAUAAUUAAUAAUAUUAAAAUUAUUAAUAUUUCUCUAAUUAUAUAUCUAAUUAUUUAAGUGUAUAUAUAUAUAUAUAUAUAUAUACACUUAAAUAAUUAGAUAUAUAAUUAGAGAAAUAUUAAUAAUUUUAAUAUUAUUAAUUAUUAAAAGUAGAUAUUAUGAAUUACUAGUUAAGUCAAAAAUAAAAAAGAAAAAACAGAAGGGGAAAACAAAUAAAAUAAUAAAACAAAAGGCUUAAAGCCUUAUAAUGAGAAUGACGUACUUCUCGGCAAAAUGACAAAAGCUUAUUUCUCACAAACAAAACAAGAAAAAAGAGGCGGAGAACACAGAAACAUAGACACAUGGCACGAAGCAGAGGCAACCUGAAAUUCCUCGAAAAUUCUAAGGUUCUUUACAAAUCAUUAAUCCUUGAACUUAGAUAUAUAAAAUUCCCUAAUGAUAAUUAUCUUAUCAUGGUAAUAAGUACCAUGGUAAUAGGUAAGAAUUUAAUAGUUAAUUCCCUUCUUUUUCUAUAUCAACAAUAUUUUUCAUAUUUAGGUGUACUACUUUAAACUUGAUAAAAUGCACUUGUUGUUAUAGAAUCGAUUAUUUGACUGGUGUUAAUUGGACCGGGGCCUACGCAUUGGCUCGAGAAGUUUUGAGGUUAGUUGAUAUAACCAUUUACCAAAGUGGUUUAACUCACAAAAGUAUGCAUACAAGGUGUUUGUUGAAUUGGCUAAAAGAGUGAAUAUGUACUUAAUUGAAGUGAGUGAGUUCAUAUUAGCUUAGAUUUUUUUUUUUUAAAGUUAGAUGAUGUACUUAAGUGAAGUGAGUGAGUUCCUAUUAGCUUAGAAUUUUAUUUUUUUUAAAGCUAGAUGAUUUAUUUUGAUAUAUGUGCAUAAAUGUUUAGAUAUUUGUGUUAUUCUUAUAUGCCAUUUUCAUAUUGAACAUUUAUGAAAAAGCAAGAAUAUUAAGAAAUAAUUUUGAAUGUGUAUUUCAUUCUUAUGUCAUACCUUAUAUUUACAAAUUUUAGAAUAAGUAUGUCUGGAAGAUUUAGACUGGAAAAGGCACAAGAAGAAAUUUUAGAAAGAAAAGAUUUUUGGGAGUAUUUUUAUAUUCUGAGAAAGGGUCAUCGUCCAGAACGAGGGUCCUGACCAAAGCGUUGACUUCCUGAAACUACUUGUGCCAAAGUAAGGAGCAUACGAGCCGAGGGUCUUAAUGCUGAGAAGUUACUUAGCCAUGCUAAAGUAUGAUACUUGAGCGUUGAGAACCAUGAAGCGAGUGACACCUCGUGGAUUGGGCCUAUUCGAUCAGGUUGGGAUCAAACCCGUGCCGAUCAUACAGUGACUUGAGACAGAAUUAUGUUAGGAUAGUUGGAACUCCCAAAGUAUAAAGUGAAGUAUUUCUUUUUUUUAAAAAAAAGAAUUUCUUAUAGAAUAUUUAUAAACUGCUAUUAUGCAUUUAUUUAGAAUUAUUCUUAUAAGCUUUAUGUUUUACAUGCAUUUAGAAUCUUUACUCAUAAUGUAUAUGUUAUUAAAGUUUCGACCAUGUUUUCGAGACUCACUAAGUACAAUGGAUGGUACUGAUGUUCUCUUUUAGGAACCUACGUUGGUCUGCGGUACAACGUAGGAAUCGGAUUUACAGGCGAGCAGGCUACGAGUUAGGACUUCCUUCUCUUCCAUUGCUAUUGGUGAGCUCCGCUUUUGUUCGUGGAGUAUUCCUUAGCAUCAUCUUUAUAGUUAUUUCUUUGUUACUUAGAGAACUAGCUAGGAAAUCUCAUGUCUUGAGCAAUGCGUUAGUUUGGCUUCAUAGACAUAGUCGUUGGGUUAUGGUUCAGAUGUUUUUGAUAAUAACUUAACAGUAUUUCAUUGGUUACUAUGAAUUAAUUUUUGGAAUUGAUUUUAAUUAAUCAAAAGUAUUUGGUAAGAGUAUUACCUUGUUGCAUAUAAAGUUUGGAGUUAUAUUAGAUUUGAUAAUAAAAGAUGGUUCGCUCGGUCAUAUUUCGUGAUCGAGUGCCAGCCCCGCUUGUUCAAAAAAUGGGUUGUGACAGAAUAUAUAUACAAGUCCUUCGGGACAUUCCCCGAGUAAGUUUAACUAAGAUAACGAUCUCUCGCCUCGAAACUAAAAAAAUUCUAAGGCUUGCUUACCCGAAUGUUGUCGGCCUAAACAUCAAUUAAUACAUAAAGUAAGAUAACUAAGCAAAAAGUUUCAUCAAUCAAGCUCAAUACCAAUCAAAAUAAGCUCUAAAUAACCUCAUUUAUAUACGAGAAAAACGAAAUCUAAAGAAAAUUUCAAAGCCAUGUGAAAUUCACAUCAAUAGAAUGCAUUCAAGGAAAGUAGAGCCAAUUCAUUCACACAAUAGCAAACAAGGACAUAUUUAAGGCAGAAGACUUAGAAAUGGACCUCAAUGUGUGGACUAUGGAUUAAAUUUCAGCAACUCAAAUCAACUCCAUUUGAGGCGUAAAAAUGGAGACCUGUCAGAUCUGAAACAGUUCCGGCGGACAAACAAGAUCACGUCUCAAAACGCUUUAAGGCUAAGUUGAAGAUAGCAACAACAAUAACCAAAUAAAUGCUGAAAUGAAGAUGGAGCUCGACUUAAACUGAGCUUUUCAAUUAACGAAAACCUCAGCCAUUACAAAUUUGGUUCGGAUGCAAAAUUGCUAUGACCUACGAUAAACCGAUGAACCUCGGACUCUAACCUCAAACAGACUCAAAUCCAGACCUCAAAACUUGCCAGAGUCGAUGACGUUACUGCCACGAUGAUGACGAUACUAUUAGUUCUAAACUCGUCCGACAUAGAAGUGAAGAUAUCGGGUGUUGUUGCGUGCAUACAAAGAAGCAGUAGCGGCUCCAAUGGUUUCUUGGGUGUGGGUGUUCGUGAGCAAGUGUAUUCCGGCGGGUUUCAGGCAGUGAGGUCCGACGGCUUGGGCUGGAGUGAAGGAGAUGAUAUCAGGGGUCGUUUAUGUUGUGUGUGGGGAUCCAAUUUUUUCCUGUUCUAGGGUGUGCUCAAAUGGUUAAGCGAUAGAGAAGAGGGGUCUUGGGCGGCGGACGGUGUUGAGCAUAGGAAGUUCGGCGGUGGCGCUCGUUUUAACUUUUUUUUUCUAGGGUUUCUAUUAUGUCUCAAGGUAUGAAGAAGAAGACCCCCAUUGCUGGGGCUUUUGGUUCCAUCUCCGUGAAGGACAUACGCUGAGAGGGUCCUUUUUUUGGUAAAAACGGCUGGUCUCCAAGACUUAAGAUUUCUAGGUUUUUUUAUCUCAUUAAGGACAAUGGAGUAUGGGCUAACAAGAUUUGGACUUCAAAAUUGGGCUCUAGAUUUCUACAUAAAUUGGGCUAAGAAAGUUAAAAUUUUAAAUUUUUUUUGAGAAUAAUAUGAGUACUUAUAAAAGAUAUAAAAUUACUCUUACUAAUUGAUUUUAAUAAACUAUUAAUAUUCUAAUAAAAUUAAAAUUAAAGUUGAAACUAUUUU
rnacentral:lncRNA from 1 species